AUUGAACGCUGGCGGCAGGCCUAACACAUGCAAGUCGAACGGUAACAGGAAGAAGCUUGCUUCUUUGCUGACGAGUGGCGGACGGGUGAGUAAUGUCUGGGAAACUGCCUGAUGGAGGGGGAUAACUACUGGAAACGGUAGCUAAUACCGCAUAACGUCGCAAGACCAAAGAGGGGGACCUUCGGGCCUCUUGCCAUCGGAUGUGCCCAGAUGGGAUUAGCUAGUAGGUGGGGUAACGGCUCACCUAGGCGACGAUCCCUAGCUGACCUGAGAGGAUGACCAGCCACACUGGAACUGAGACACGGUCCAGACUCCUACGGGAGGCAGCAGUGGGGAAUAUUGCACAAUGGGCGCAAGCCUGAUGCAGCCAUGCCGCGUGUAUGAAGAAGGCCUUCGGGUUGUAAAGUACUUUCAGCGGGGAGGAAGGGAGUAAAGUUAAUACCUUUGCUCAUUGACGUUACCCGCAGAAGAAGCACCGGCUAACUCCGUG
rnacentral:rRNA from 1 species